UACGAAGGGGGCUAGCGUUGCUCGGAAUCACUGGGCGUAAAGCGCACGUAGGCGGCUUUUUAAGUCAGGGGUGAAGUCCUGGAGCUCAACUCCAGAACUGCCUUUGAUACUGAGAAGCUUGAGUCCGGGAGAGGUGAGUGGAACUGCGAGUGUAGAGGUGAAAUUCGUAGAUAUUCGCAAGAACACCAGUGGCGAAGGCGGCUCACUGGCCCGGUACUGACGCUGAGGUGCGAAAGCGUGGGGAGCAAACAGG
rnacentral:rRNA from 1 species